rnacentral:tRNA from 1 species
GGGGUUAUAGCUCAGCUGGGAGAGCGCUUGCAUGGCAUGCAAGAGGUCCGCCGUUCGAUCGCGCGUAGCUCCACCA